UCCCUGGUGGCUCAGACGGUAAAGCGUCUGCCUGCAGUGCAGGAGACCCGGGUUCGAUCCCUGGGCUGGGAA
rnacentral:tRNA from 1 species